rnacentral:rRNA from 1 species
AUUGAACGCUGGCGGCAGGCCUAACACAUGCAAGUCGAACGAGUGGCGGACGGGUGAGUAAUGUCUGGGAAACUGCCUGAUGGAGGGGGAUAACUACUGGAAACGGUAGCUAAUACCGCAUACUAUCAGAUGUGCCCAGAUGGGAUUAGCUAGUUGGUGGGGUAACGGCUCACCAAGGCGACGAUCCCUAGCUGGUCUGAGAGGAUGACCAGGCAAACUGGAAAUGAGACACGGGCCAGACUGCUAAGGGAGGCAGCAGUGGGGAAUAUUGGACAAUGGGCGCAAGCCUGAUGCAGCCAUGCCGCGUGUAUGAAGAAGGCCUUCGGGUUGGAAAGUACUUUCAGCGGGGAGGCGUUACCCGCAGAAGAAGCACCGGCUAACUCCGUGCCAGCAGCCGCGGUAAUUC